AGAGUUUGAUCCUGGCUCAGAAUGAACGCUGGCGGCGUGCUUAACACAUGCAAGUCGCACGAGAACGCUUCAGCUUGCUGGAGCUAGUAAAGUGGCGCACGGGUGAGUAACGCGUGGGUAAUCUACCUCUGAAUUGGGGAUAACAUUGCGAAAGCGAUGCUAAUACCGGAUAAUAUCCUUCGAACUUCGGUUGUAAGGAUCAAAGGUGGCCUCUACAUGUAAGCUAUUGUUUAGAGAUGAGCCCGCGUACCAUUAGCUUGUUGGUAGGGUAAAGGCCUACCAAGGCGACGAUGGUUAGCUGGUCUGAGAGGAUGAUCAGCCACACUGGAACUGACACACGGGGUUGAGCCCCGGGCUUUCACACCUGACAUAGAAGACCGCCUACGCGCUCUUUACGCCCAAUGAUUCCGAAUAACGCUUGCACCCCCCGUAUUACCGCGGCUGCUGGCACGGAGUUAGCCGGUGCUUCCUUCAGUGGUACCGUCAGCGCACCGCACUAUUUGUACGGCGCGGGUUCUUCCCACUUGACAGAGGCCGCGGUAAUACGGGGGGUGCAAGCGUUAUUCGGAAUCAUUGGGCGUAAAGAGCGCGUAGGCGGUCUUUUAUGUCAGGUGUGAAAGCCCGGGGCUUAACCUCGGAAGUGCACUUGAAACUGAAAGACUUGAGUAUGGGAGAGGGAAGUGGAAUUCCUGGUGUAGCGGUGAAAUGCGUAGAUAUCAGGAGGAACACCGGUGGCGAAGGCGACUUCCUGGACCAAUACUGACGCUGAGGCGCGAAGGCGUGGGGAGCAAACAGGAUUAGAUACCCUGGUAGUCCACGCAGUAAACGAUGAACACUAGGUGUAGCGGGUAUUGACCCCUGCUGUGCCGCAGUUAACGCAUUAAGUGUUCCGCCUGGGGAGUACGGCCGCAAGGCUAAAACUCAAAGGAAUUGACGG
rnacentral:rRNA from 1 species